rnacentral:misc_RNA from 1 species
GAUGAAGAACGCAGCGAAAUGCGAUACGUAAUGUGAAUUGCAGAAUUCAGUGAAUCAUCGAGUCUUUGAACGCACAUUGCGCCCUCUGGUAUUCCGGAGGGCAUGCCUGUCCGAGCAUCAUUGCUGCCCUCAAGCACGGCUUGUGUGUUGGGCCCCGCCCCCCGAUCCCGGGGGGCGGGCCCGAAAGGCAGCGGCGGCACCGCGUCCGGUCCUCGAGCGUAUGGGGCUUUGUCACCCGCUCUGUAGGCCCGGCCGGCGCUUGCCGAUCAACCAAACUUUUUUCCAGGUUGACCUCGGAUCAGGUAGGGAUACCCGCUGAACUUAAGCAUAUCAAUAAGCGGAGGA